GAAAAUUCCAAAGAAUGCUCUCAUUGCAUGAUUUCAUCUAGACUCAAAACAAUGGUUGCUCCAGAUCAGGAAAACAAUGCUUAGCUGGCAGCCACCUGACUUAUGUGACAAUGGGUCACUAUUACAGGGUGUUUUAUGAAACGGCUGAGUGAAAUGGCUCGACUAAAGACUCUUACUGCCAAGCCUGAUAAUCCGAGUUCAAGUCAUGGCACCUGCAAGGUAGAAGGGGAGAAUCAAACUAUCCUCCAACUUCCAUGUGUGCCCUCACAAUAGGGAAGUCAAGGCAGGAACCUGAAGCAGCUAGUCACAUUGUGACAGGGCAAGACAGUGCAGAAGUUCCUCCGUCUUGUAUUCCUGUUGAGGCCGGUUCCAGGUUUAACUCAGAUCUGAUCUUGAUGGGGAAUCCCAUGGAAAACUACCAAACUCUAUUCUGGGGCCCAAAGGUCAGGAUGUCCUAGCUAACUUAUCUUAGCCUUUGCUAAAACUGCUUGUUUGUGCAGAACCUCCUCCAGCUAACCAUUCACCUUAGCUGCCUGUUUGCUUGGAACCACCCCCCUUGGCUAGCUAAAUGCUUAUCUCAGCGUCUGUUAAAACUUCUUGCUUCAAACUGCACACUCUUCAAAGCCCCAAUUCCCGCUGCCAAGGGAGAUGCCUGAGUGAGGUCUCUGCUCUUAAAAACCUAUAUUCUGAACACUUGGGACCAUACCUAGGUCCCAGAACACCUGGGUAUGGUCCCAUCCAUUUGGAAUAAAGACUUUCAAUUGGCUAUACACUAUGUCUGAGGGGUCAUCUCUGAUGGGCUCCUGUGGUGGUUUGAAAGGAAAUGGCCCCCAAAGAAAAUGGCACUAUUAGGAGGUGUGGCUUUG
rnacentral:lncRNA from 1 species